UUCUAAGCCUUGGUGUCCCCUCUGUAGAAAGGGGUUAAUAUGAAGACCUGUCUUCAGGGCUAUUGGAAUAGCAUCGUGUAGAACGUGCUUACUCAUCGGUCACUGUUAUCGUUAGCACCGUACGUGUGAGUCUCCUCUAACCUAAACAUAAAACUCUGGUCUUUUUCCCUCACUGUGCCAGCCAAAGGGAAUGUACUCUUCACCACCCAUCAGUUUGGAGCUGCGGCUUCUUUUUGUCCAGGAGUCUGCUUGGUGCUUGCGGCUGAGUUCCUCCAACGUCCUUGUCAACACGGCCUCCUGACAGUGGUUCUCUCCAGAAACCAAGUGCACUGGCGUUCUGCUGUCUUUUUCUUAUUAACCAUGAAAUCAGAGAAUGUUUCAGCAGUUCAUAUCAUGUUGGUAUUUUGUCUUUAAAAGUGAUGCUUUUUUUUUUUUUUUUUUUGAGAUAGACUUUCGCUCUUGUUGCCCAGGCUGGAAUGCAAUGGGGUGAUCUCCGCUCACCGCAACCUCUGCCUCCCGGGUUCAAGUGAUUCUCCUGCCUCAGCCUCCCUAGUAGCUGGGAUUACAGGUGCAUGCCACAGUGCUCAUCUAAUUUUGUAUUUUUAGUAGAGAUUGGGUUUCUCCAUGUUGGCCAGGCUGGUCUCGAACUCCUGACCUCAGGUGACGCGCCUGCCCCGGCCUCCCAAAGUGCUGGGAUUACAAGCGUGAGCCCCCGCGCCCGGCCAGCGAUGCUUACUUUUAUUAGAACACGUUAGCUGGCAUCUGAGUGUCACAGGGAUGCAGCGUGACGGCCACAGCCCGGGUAGCUGGCGUCUGAGUGUCGCAGGGAUUUGGUGUGACGGCCACAGCCCGGGUAGCUGGCGUCUGAGUGUCACAGGGAUGCGGCGUGACGGCCAUAGCCCGGGUAGCUGGCGUCUGAGUGUCGCAGGGAUGCGGUGUAGCUGGCGUCUGAGUGUCACAGGGAUGCGGUGUGACGGCCACAGCCCGGGUAGCUGGCGUCUGAGUGUCGCAGGGAUGCGGUGUAGCUGGCGUCUGAGUGUCACAGGGAUGCGGUGUGACAGCCAUAGCCAGGGCAGCUGGCGUCCUGAGUGUGUUGCAGAGGAUCUGGGUAUGGCUGAAAGUACUGGAGUGUCACAGGGAUCUUGAGUGUAAGC
rnacentral:lncRNA from 1 species